UCUUUCCGUCGGGGAAUCGAACCCCGGUCGCCUGCGUGACAAGCGGGAAUACUGACCACUAUACUAUUG
rnacentral:tRNA from 1 species